CAAGCAUUCAACCGACAACUAAACUUUAUUAAAACUUUAACGAAGUUAGAAAUUCCAGGAACGGUCAUUCUCGAGAGAAGGAACGUUUCAUUAUUAUUGAAGUACUCAUUGUUCGGUCAUCGAUACAAACGUUUUUCAAAGCAUUGACACACUUCAUCCUCUCUUAUGUUUUUUUUCCCCUGUUCAUUCUUCUUUUAUUGUGCUGAUGCCCCGUCGCGAUCUUCACACUCUUGUUCGAGCGAAAUAAUCGGUUGAAACAUGUUUCAGGGGAACAGUGAAGACGUCAGCUGCCUUCCCAAAAUUUAUGACAUACAGCAAUACUUCGCAUAGUCUGGG